AUUUUUCUAGUAUAACCUAAUACUUAUGACUUCCAAUCAUUUAAUCCUAUAACCUUAGGGAAAAAUA
rnacentral:tRNA from 1 species